GAUGAAGAACGUAGCAAAAUGCGAUAAGUAAUGUGAAUUGCAGAAUUCAGUGAAUCAUCGAAUCUUUGAACGCACAUUGCGCCCGCCAGUAUUCUGGCGGGCAUGCCUGUUCGAGCGUCAUUUCAACCCUCAAGCCCUCGGGUUUGGUGUUGGGGAUCGGCGAGCCUUUCUGGCAAGCCGGCCCCGAAAUCUAGUGGCGGUCUCGCUGCAGCCUCCAUUGCGUAGUAGUAAAACCCUCGCAACUGGAACGCGGCGCGGCCAAGCCGUUAAACCCCCAACUUCUGAAUGUUGACCUCGGAUCAGGUAGGAAUACCCGCUGAACUUAAGCAUAUCAAAAGCGGAGGA
rnacentral:misc_RNA from 1 species